GGCUUAGUGGUCUAGAGGCAUGAUUCUCGCUUUGGGUGCGAGAGGUCCCGGGUUCAAUUCCCGGCUGAGCCC